AGAACGAACGCUGGCGGCAUGCCUAAUACAUGCAAGUCGAACGAACUCUUCGGAGUUAGUGGCGCACGGGUGCGUAACGCGUGGGAAUCUGCCCUUGGGUUCGGAAUAACAGUUGGAAACGACUGCUAAUACCGGAUGAUAUCGAAAGAUCAAAGAUUUAUCGCCCAGGGAUGAGCCCGCGUAGGAUUAGCUAGUUGGUGAGGUAAAGGCUCACCAAGGCGACGAUCCUUAGCUGGUCUGAGAGGAUGAUCAGCCACACUGGGACUGAGACACGGCCCAGACUCCUACGGGAGCAGCAGUAGGAAUAUUGGACAAUGGGCGACAAGCCUGAUCCAGCCAUCCCGCGUGUGCGAUGAAAGGCCCUUGGUUGUAAAGCUACUUU
rnacentral:rRNA from 1 species